rnacentral:ncRNA from 1 species
CACCUCCCUAGUGUAUUUAAGCCAUGUGUGUCUAUUGUCACUUGUCUAUUGUCAUUGUUGAAUGUCUGGAGGUCCUUGUCUGAGUGUUCCUGGGUGUGCGCUUUUCUCCCUUGACGAGGAUCCAUUGGAGGGCAAGUCUGGUGUCAGCAGCCGUGGUAUUUUCAGCUCCAAUAGCGUAUAUUAACGUUGCUGUAGUUAAAAAGCUCGUAGUUGCACCUCGGGGUCCGGCUGGCGGUCCACCGUGAGGUGUGCCACCGCCUGCCCGGUCCCCUGCCUCUUGACCGCCCCCUGAAUGCUCUUGAUUGAGUGUCCCAAAUGAAGUGUUUACUUUGAAAAAAGUGAGUGGGAGAGUGUUCAAAGCAGGCCCGGUCGGCUGAAUACCGCAGCUAGGAAUAAUGGAAUAGAACUCCGGUCCUAUUUUGUGGGUUUCAUCCUCCGGACUGGAGCCAUGAUUGAGAGGGACGGCCGGAGGCAUUCGUACUGUGCCGCUAGAGGUGAAACUCUUGGACCCGUUCAAGAUGGACGAGGGCUCAACGGGUCCGUCUGAGCAACAGGGACUGCUACAAGAAGGGAGGGCGGUCGAGCUUCAAAACAAAGAACUUCUGUUCAUGGCCUUGGUUCAUAU